GUGAUUUUAAGCAAUAACAAAUAAUGGAUCUUAAGUCCCAACAAUACAAUAAAGUUAAAAUGUAAAAAGACCAGCAAUACCACACUAACAAUUUCAGCUGAAUUCAUGUUCCAACUAAAGAUCACCACUACCACACUUCAGUUAGUGCAUUCAACAACAAUUUAAGAGGGUAAAAUACAUAAGUUUAAGAGGGCAUUUCCUCACAAUGAACUUCAUCAAGGUAAAAUUUCGAUCCAAAAGAAAUAUGAAUAAUUAUAAACAAUCCAACUUGGUCAAGGUUUAACUUUUAAGUUUAGAUAUUGAAACUAAAAUUUGCUUGACCGCCUUAUCAAACCCAGCAUUGUGCUGCAUUGGAAUUUCAGUCUUCAGCUUUCAAAUCUUCAAUACACAAAAUCAUUCAAUGAGACAUUUUUGGUAGUGUCAACAACAUUUCAAUCCGCAAACUGUCACAUUGCAAGCAAAAAAUCAACAACAUUUCUAACCAUUCAACAACAACACUUAUAUUUAGGCAGUGUCAUUUCAAUCUGCAAACUAUCACAUUGCAGUCUAACUAACUAUAAUCAACAUUAACAAACAUAUUUCUAACAAAUUUCAUCAUUAACAAUCCAAAAAACAAAAACAAAAAUUCAUUGAGACAUUUUAUCAAACACCUAGAGUUCAUAUUUCAAUCAACUUAAAAUCAAACAAUUUCAAAUACCUAAAACUACCACAUUUCACUCUAAACAACAUCUAAAAUACAUUUUCUAACUUAAUUUAUCACUAACAAUCAUCAAAACUAACACGCAAGACAAAUUCAUAAAAACCUAGAAAUGUUAAAUUUCUUACAAAAUUCUAAAAUUUCAACCAAAAAAAAUGGAAUGGAGUAGGAUGAUCAUCACUUACUUGAUAUUGUGGGAGAAAUUGGCUUUGAUUGGCGCAAGAAUGGUGAAAAUCGCACUUGGAGGAGAAAAUUUUGUUUUUUGAGAAGUUGGAAAAAUGAAGGUUUGUGUUUUUGUUUUGAUGAUAUAACACUUAAGUCACGCUUAAGGAAACAAUUGGCGUGAGUUAACCCACGUAGGAGUAAAUUUGUCUGUUCAGUUGGGGAUGAGCAAUUUUUGUUGGGUAAAGAGCAGAAUUCAUCUUUAUAUUGUAACUAGACGCUUGACCCCCGCUAUCGCGCGGGUUUGUUAUAGACUAUUGAUCAAUAUGUUUUGAUUACAAUCAACUCAAUCAAUUUGAAAAAUAUAUCAUGUGUGC
rnacentral:lncRNA from 1 species